CCAGUGCAUUUUAGUUUUUCUGAGUUAUGAGCAGAAAUACUCAACACUGAACAUUGGGCUAUAUAUCAAAUUGAAGCUAUUGAAAAACACUAUUUGGUGUAGAAAUUUGAAGACUUUAGCUAAAAGGGAAAUAUUGAAAAACGACAAACAUAAUUACCGAUAAUUUGCCGUUUUGCAGUUGUUUUUGUAUUUUUUAAAUAUUUUUCUUUUCGCUGAAGUCUUGAAAUUUCCACACCGAAUAGCAAUUUUUAAUAGCUUCAAUUUGAUAUAUAGCCCGACGUUUGGGGUCAAGUAUUUCUGCUCAUAACUCAGAAAAACUAUUUUGGCUUCAUCAAAUCAUAGGCCUUCAUCAUAGCAGUUAGCCUUCCAGUUUAUUUAUAGUUCAAUG